GACGAACGCUGGCGGCGUGCUUAACACAUGCAAGUCGAACGGAAAGGCCCUGAUUUUGUGGGGUUCUCGUUUGGCGAGCGGGUGAGUAACACGCGUGUAAACUCCCCUUGUCUUUGGGGUAACUUCAGGGAACUGGGGAUAAUAUCGGAUAUGAUCUCCUGAAGCACAUGGUGGAUUGGAAAGAUACGGCGGUUGUGGCUGGACUCGCGGGUUAUCAGCUUGUUUGUGUGGUAGUGGAGUACCAAGGCUUUGACGGGUAGCCGGCCUGAGAGGGUGGACGGGGACCUGGGGACUGAGAGACGGCCCAGAAUCCUACGGGAGGCAGCAGUGGGGAAUAUUGCGCAAUGGGCGGAAGCCUGAUGCAGAAGCGCCGGGUGCGGAAUGACGUCUUUCUGGUGGUAAACCGCUGUCGACUGUGACGAGGCGUGAGUGACGGUAAUGGGUAAAGAAGCCCCGGCUAACUACGUG
rnacentral:rRNA from 1 species